rnacentral:rRNA from 1 species
GACGAACGCUGGCGGCGUGCUUAACACAUGCAAGUCGAACGGAAAGGCCCUGCUUUUGUGGGGUGCUCGAGUGGCGAACGGGUGAGUAACACGUGAGUAACCUGCCCUUGACUUUGGGAUAACUUCAGGAAACUGGGGCUAAUACCGGAUAGGAGCUCCUGCUGCAUGGUGGGGGUUGGAAAGUUUCGGCGGUUGGGGAUGGACUCGCGGCUUAUCAGCUUGUUGGUGGGGUAGUGGCUUACCAAGGCUUUGACGGGUAGCCGGCCUGAGAGGGUGACCGGCCACAUGGGGACUGAGAUACGGCCCAGACUCCUACGGGGGGCAGAAGUGGGGAAUAUUGCACAAGGGGCGGAAGCCUGAUGCAGCAACGCCGCGUGCGGGAUGACGGCCUUCGGGUGGUAAACCGCUUUCGCCUGUGACGAAGCGUGAGUGACGGUAAUGGGUAAAGAAGCACCGGCUAACUACGU